rnacentral:rRNA from 1 species
GACGAACGCUGGCGGCGUGCCUAAUACAUGCAAGUCGAGCGAAUCAAUGGGAGCUUGCUCCCUGGGAUUAGCGGCGGACGGGUGAGUAACACGUGGGUAACCUGCCUGUAAGACUGGGAUAACUUCGGGAAACCGGAGCUAAUACCGGAUACGUUCUUUUCUCGCAUGAGAAGAGAUGGAAAGAUGGUUCUGCUAUCACUUACAGAUGGACCCGCGGCGCAUUAGCUAGUUGGUGAGGUAACGGCUCACCAAGGCGACGAUGCGUAGCCGACCUGAGAGGGUGAUCGGCCACACUGGGACUGGGACGCGGCCCAGACUCCUACGGGAGGCAGCAGUAGGGAAUCUUCCGCAAUGGACGAGAGUCUGACGGAGCAACGCCGCGUGAGCGAAGAAGGCCUUCGGGUCGUAAAGCUCUGUUGUUAGGGAAGAACAAGUACGAGAGUAACUGCUCGUACCUUGACGGUACCUAACCAGAAAGCCACGGCUAACUACGUGCCAGCAGCCGCCGUAA